UACGGAGGAUCCAAGCGUUAUCCGGAUUUAUUGGGUUUAAAGGGUGCGUAGGUGGCCUGUUAAGUCAGGGGUGAAAGACGGUAGCUUAACUAUCGCAGUGCCUUUGAUACUGACGGGCUUGAAUACACUAGAGGUAGGCGGAAUGUGACAAGUAGCGGUGAAAUGUAUAGAUAUGUCACAGAACACCAAUUGCGAAGGCAGCUUACUAUGGUGUCAUUGACACUGAGGCAACGAAAGCGUGGGGAUCAAACAGG
rnacentral:rRNA from 1 species